GACGAACGCUGGCGGCGUGCUUAACACAUGCAAGUCGAACGGAAAGGCCCUGCUUUUGUGGGGUGCUCGAGUGGCGAACGGGUGAGUAACACGUGAGUAACCUGCCCUUGACUUUGGGUUAACUUCAGGAAACUGGGGCUAAUACCGGAUAGGAGCUCCUGCUGCAUGGUGGGGGUUGGAAAGUUUCGGCGGUUGGGGAUGGACUCGCGGCUUAUCAGCUUGUUGGUGGGGUAGUGGCUUACCAAGGCUUUGACGGGUAGCCGGCCUGAGAGGGUGACCGGCCACAUUGGGACUGAGAUACGGCCCAGACCCCGACGGGAGGCAGCAGUGGGGAAUAUUGCACAAGGGGCGGAGGCCUGAUGCAGCAACGCCGCGUGCGGGAUGACGGCCUUCGGGUGGUAACCAGCUUUCGCCUGUGACGAAGCGUGAGUGACGGUAAUGGGAAAAGAAGCACCGGCUAACUAUGU
rnacentral:rRNA from 1 species